UGGGGAAUAUUGGACAAUGGGCGGAAGCCUGAUCCAGCCAUGCCGCGUGUGUGAAGAAGGCCUUUUGGUUGUAAAGCACUUUAAGCGAGGAGGAGGCUACUUGGAUUAAUACUCUAGGAUAGUGGACGUUACUCGCAGAAUAAGCACCGGCUAACUCUGUGCCAGCAGCCGCGGUAAUACAGAGGGUGCGAGCGUUAAUCGGAUUUACUGGGCGUAAAGCGUGCGUAGGCGGCUUCUUAAGUCGGAUGUGAAAUCCCUGAGCUUAACUUAGGAAUUGCAUUCGAUACUGGGAAGCUAGAGUAUGGGAGAGGAUGGUAGAAUUCCAGGUGUAGCGGUGAAAUGCGUAGAGAUCUGGAGGAAUACCGAUGGAGAAGGCAGCCAUCUGGCCUAAUACUGACGCUGAGGUACGAAAGCAUGGGGAGCAAACAGG
rnacentral:rRNA from 1 species